CAGGCACUGAAAGAGAAGAUGGACUAGGAGGAAGAGGAGAAAUGAAAACGAAGAGAAGGAAGAAGAGGAAAACAAGAUAAAGGACGGUCGAGGCACGGCUGAAGGGGCCUGCGAGCGUCGGGGCAAGAGAGACAGGUUCCACACGGGACCAUCAACGCUUCAACAAAACAAAACAUUACAUUUUUCUUACUUAAACCGUCUCUUGUUUGAUUGACUGGUGUGUUUUUCCAUAGCUUGUUGUAUCAUUUCAAGGCCCAAAUUACAAGCUCC